rnacentral:rRNA from 1 species
UACGUAGGGUGCGAGCGUUUGUCCGGAAUUAUUGGGCGUAAAGAGCUCGUAGGCGGUUUGUCGCGUCUGCCGUGAAAGUCCGGGGCUCAACUCCGGAUCUGCGGUGGGGUACGGGCAGACUAGAGUGAUGUAGGGGAGACUGGAAUUCCUGGUGUAGCGGUGAAAUGCGCAGAUAUCAGGAGGAACACCGGUGGCGAAGGCGGGUCUCUGGGCCGAUACUGACGUGGAGGAGCGAAAGCGUGGGGAGCGAACAGG